rnacentral:rRNA from 1 species
GACGAACGCUGGCGGCGUGCUUAACACAUGCAAGUCGAACGGAAAGGCCCUGCUUUUGUGGGGUGCUCGAGUGGCGAACGGGUGAGUAACACGUGAGUAACCUGCCCUUGACUUUGGGAUAACUUCAGGAAACUGGGGCUAAUACCGGAUAGGAGCUCCUGCUGCAUGGUGGGGGUUGGAAAGUUUCGGCGGCUGGGGAUGGACUCGCGGCUUAUCAGCUUGUUGGUGGGGUAGUGGCUUACCAAGGCUUUGACGGGUAGCCGGCCUGAGAGGGUGACCGGCCACAUUGGGACUGAGAUACGGCCCAGACUCCUACGGGAGGCAGCAGUGGGGAAUAUUGCACAAUGGGCGGAAGCCUGAUGCAGCAACGCCGCGUGCGGGAUGACGGCCUUCGGGUUGUAAACCGCUUUCGCCUGUGACGAAGCGUGAGUGACGGUAAUGGGGAAAGAAGCACCGGCGAACUACGU